GUAAAUAUAGUGUAAGCAAAACCCUAGAUUGUGAAUCUAAUAAUGAAGGCUUGAACCCUUCUAUUUACC
rnacentral:tRNA from 1 species